rnacentral:lncRNA from 1 species
CUUCUUAACUCCCUUUUAUGACUUGUACGUUAUUGGUGGAUGACACAUAUAAGUUGUGCAUGUAUAUUCAAGUUCAUGCACCUUUUUAUUCAUCAUCCUCUGGCCAACAAUAUCCAAGGUGUUGAAAUACCUCUUCAACUCUUCACAUUCUUCAUCUAAGUCCAAUUGUGUAUCAUUCUCUUCUUCAACGACUUCAUACUCUUUAACGACUUCAUAU